GCGGCUUAUAGUCCGGAAAUUACGGUACGUUCUUUCCAAUACAAAAGUGUAGUGUAUUGUUUCCAAACUGCGUUACCCCACUCCAGCCAGCAGAUGGCGAUGAUCGUCUUUCAGGUGAUGCUUCUUCCGUGACGUAUCAUGGACUGGACGGGACGCUUCUUCAGGAACAACCAGGCACAAACUCUUUCAACCACCUCUGUAGCUUGCUAGCCAACAUAAAAGUGAAAGAUUGACGCUUUAGACCAUCUUAAUGUACAUGAUCUAAUCUCAGUGUUUUAAACACAGUUCUGUUGACGUAUUAACUGGUUAACUGUAACCGAAUUUGCAAACUUGUUAAAGAUUGAUGCUGAGCCUAGCACUAGGCUAGUCGCUAAUGCUAACUAGCUAGCUAACAUCCCUGACCAUGAGUUCAUUAAAGUACUCAUCCCUGCUAUAGAAGAGGAGGUCUGCUGUUUGGAGAAAGAAGCUCUGGCGCUGAACAUUGAAGAAGAGGAGGAUGUUACAGUGAAAGAGAAAGAACCUUUUAGAAUGAAAAAGGAGGAAGAGGAGACUGUUAUAGUGAAGGAAGAAGAUGCUGUUAUAGUGAAAGAACAUUUCAGAAUGAAAAAGGAGGAAGAGGAGGCUGUUAUAGUGAUAGAAGAGAAAGAACCGUUUAGAGAGGAAGAGGAUGCUAUCUCAAUAAAGGUGAAGGAGGAAGACGUUUUGGGAGUGAAAGAGGAGACAGAAUAUCAGAUUAACACCAGAGAGAGACAUGACUAUGGUGGAUCCUCUGGGGAGCUUCAACAACAUCCUGAUGCUGACGAGGCAGAGAAGAGUCUCUCCAGAUCAGAACACCAGAUGGUACAGCUUGGUCUGGACAAGCAAACAGCUUUCUCUUGCUUGGGGGCUGGGUUUCUGUAAACCACUUUAUGACAACAGUGACAUCAGCAUCCAUAUGAUGUGCGUCUGUGUCCCCUCUUUAUGGUUACCAGGACAACACUAGCCCUUCCUCCCAUCCCGGAGUCCCUGUAUCGUGCCUCUCCUGGUAGCACCUUACUGCUGGGGUAUGAAGAGGUUGUCUGUGCUGCUGGUGGACUGCAGGAAAACAACGGGGCUGAGUGGAACUGUGAGAGGAGGAGAAGAGAAGAAAGGAUCAGAUUUGACACACCAAAGUAAGUGCUGUAGUUUAUUUGGAACAAAUACAAUAGAUCUGCCCACUGGUAUCUG
rnacentral:lncRNA from 1 species